AGAGUUUGAUCCUGGCUCAGGACGAACGCUGGCGGCGUGGAUUAGGCAUGCAAGUCGCGCGACGGACUUCCUUCGGGGAGUUACGGAGCGGCGAACGGGUGAGUAACACGUGAACAAUCUGUCCCUACAUUCCGGAUAAUUGGCCGAAAGGCCUUGUAAUACGGGGGAGGAUGUUUUUGAGGCAUCUCAGAAACAGGGAAGGCGCAAGCCGUGCAGGGAGGAGUUCGCGGAUUAUCAGCUUGUUGGUGGGGUAACGGCCUACCAAGGCGACGACGAUUAGCUGGUCUGAGAGAAUGGUCAGCCACAUUGGAACUGAGACACUGUCCAGACUCUUACGGGAGGCUGCAGUCGAGAAUCUUGGGCAAUGCACGAAAGUGUGACCCAGCGACGCCGCGUGGAGGAUGAAGGACCUUGGUUCGUAAACUCCUUUUAUGGGAGAAGAACGCCGCUUUGCGGUUUGACGGUAUCCCAUGAAUAAGCCACGGCUAACUACGUGCCAGCAGCCGCGGUAAUACGUAGGUGGCAAGCGUUGUCCGGAUUUACUGGGCGUAAAGGGUGUGUAGGCGGAAUUUUAAGUAGAAAGUGAAAGGUUGGAGCUCAACUCCAACACUGCUUCCUAUACUGGAAUUCUUGAGUCCCGGAGAGGAAGAUGGAACGACACGUGUAGCGGUGAAAUGCGUUGAUAUGUGUCGGAACACCAAUGGCGAAGGCCAUCUUCUGGACGGGUUACUGACGCUGAGAACACGAAAGCCAAGGGAGCGAACCAGGAUUAAAUACCCUGGUAUCUUGUGCCCUUAACUAUNUUCACCUAGUUGUNGGGGGUUCCCUCGGUGCGCACUAACGCAUUAAGUGAACCGCCUGGGGACUACGCCGCAAGGUUGAAACUCAAAGGAAUUGGCGGGGGCCCGCACAAGCGGUGGAGCAUGUGGCUUAAUUCGAUGCAACGCGAAGAACCUUACCAGGGCUUGACAUGGUACUGCAAGCUGCCGAAACGCAGUCGCUUUCGAAGGUGUAUCACAGGUGGUGCAUGGCUGUCGUCAGCUCGUGUUGUGAAAUGUUGGGUUAAGUCCCGCAACGAGCGCAACCCUCAUGUUCUGUUGCCAGCGAGUAAUGUCGGGAACUCGGAACAAACUGCCUCUGUAAGGAGGAGGAAGGUGGGGAUGACGUCAAGUCAUCAUGCCCCUUACGCCCCUGGGCUGCACACAUGCUACAAUGGCCGGUACAAAGAGCCGCGAACUCGUGAGAGUAAGCUAAUCUCAAAAAGCCGGUCUCAGUUCGGAUUGGAGUCUGCAACUCGACUCCAUGAAGUUGGAAUCGCUAGUAACCGCCGGUCAGCAAUACGGCGGUGAAUACGUUCCCGGGCCUUGCACACACCGCCCGUCACGCCACGAAAGUUGGUCUUACCCGAAGUCGCCGCGCUAACCGCAAGGAGGCAAGCGCCUAAGGUAGGGCCGAUGAUUGGGACGAAGUCGUACAAGGUAGCCGUAUCGGAAGGUGCGGCUGGAUCACCUCCUU
rnacentral:rRNA from 1 species